GUAUAUGGAAAUCAUCAUUUACCAAAAUAUAGGAAUAAAGAAAAGCCAUUGGAAUCAAUUGGCGUAAAAAUGAUUCAUAUAACAUAGAUAGCAUGCACCUUCUUGACUUAGGGGUAAUGCGCAAAUUUUUACAGAGAAUUUUAAAUGAUAAAACUAAUAUGAGGGUGACUAAAGGCAAUAAAGACAUUAUUUCAAAGAGCUUAAAGGACUUGAAGCCGUUUAUUCCCAAAGAAUUUGCUAGAAAACCUAGCGGUUUCGAAGAAAUAUUUAAUUGGAAACCAAGUAAAUUUCGCCAAUUUCUUCUCUACACAGGAAUUUCAGUUUUAAAGGAUUAUGUGCCAGAUGAUCUAUAUUAUCAAUUUUUGCUUAUCCACUCUACUUGUGGGAUAUUACAUUGCCCUAAAACCUACCUUGCGAAUAUUAAUAUAGCUAAACAUUUAUUGUAUUUAAUUGUUCAAAACUUCCCCAUCGUAUUCGGAGAAGCGAGCUUGACAUACAAUAUUCAUCACCUGCUUCACUUACCAGAAAAUAUUAAAGCAAUAGGCUUUUUAUCUGGCUGAUCUGCAUAUGCUUUCGAAAACUAUUUGCAAACCCUAAAAAAAUAUGUAAAGAACCAACGCAUGUGCUACAACAACUUUUUAAUAGAAUUUCACUCGAGAAUUUGGUGWCAAAACCUGUAUGUGUUGGUUUAAAAUUACUUAAAAAUAGAACGUUUCAGUACUAUCACAAUAACUGUAUUUUUAGUUCGAAACACCUUGAAAAUUAUUGUGUAAUAAAGCCGUAUACUCCUAUAGAAAUAACGGGUUUUAAAAAAGAGAAUGGCGGUUUAGUCGUAGGAAAGAAGUUUAUAAAUUUAGAAACUUUUUUCCCUGAACCUCUAGAUUCAACAACUAUAGGAAUAUGUUUAGUAGACUUAACUCCAAUAGAAGAAGAAAUGUCGUUUUCUGUAGACGAAAUAGAAUGCAAAUUGUUAGGUUUACCUCAUAAAGACCGCUUACUCAUGCUUCCAAUUUUGUAUGGAUGUUUGUAAUAAUAAAUUUUUAAUAAUACAAAUAAAUAUAACAUUAACACUUUAAAAAGGUAUGCACAAAAAUAUGUAUUUAAACGCGUUCAGAAAAUACCAAACGUCUUUUAAAAAAUUAAAAAUGAAUGAGAGAUGGGCUGAAAAUAUUCAACCACAAAACGGUGAUCCCAGAGGUUCCAUCUCUAACUGUAACUGCAGCGUUAUAACUACAUAUAUGUACAAUGUACAUUGUACAUAUCAGAAGUAUGUAAGAAAUAACAUUAAGCAUACGUAUGUAUAUCUCAUUUUAGAGGAUAUCGGGAAGUUAAAAUCAUUUGGUUGUAAAAAGUUGGACAAACUCAACUUGCCUAUAAUAAAGCUGUAAUGACUGCUCUGGCAGAACAGAAAAUCGUCACGCAAAAGCUAAUUCGCCAGGAGUCAUUGGGAGCGCCAAACGCAGAGCUUUUCCCACUUUGAAGUGAAGAAAGUCUAAAAGCGAUAGAGGAAAAAAUAUUGCCGGAGAAUCGGGAGAU